AUUUCAAUGAUAAUAUGAUAUUAAAACAACUGUCAUUUAACAAGGGAGGAGGGGGUAUUCAACAGAAAUGGUUUAAGUUGCUUUGUGAUAAUUGAGGUGAUGAGUUCAAAUGAGUUUCAGAUGAUUCAGUUUGUUUAUUUCUAGUUUCUCUUCUCUUUUUGCUUACAGAAACAGAAAUCAAAGUAUCCCUCACCUCUUCUAGCAGAUUUGAUGAAUUGAUUGAUUGAAUUUUUUUACUUAAAAAAACAUCAACAGAAACAAUACCUAAAACUGGAGAUAAUGAAAGGCAUGGCAUCCCAACUCUGCUCCAGACAAAAGACAAUUCCUCAGGUGGCAUGGGAAAUGAAGCCUAGAUGUAUUAAUAAACAAAUUGUCCAUGGUUGUCACCAACUUCAAAGAUGAUGGGUUUGCUUAUUACAAAACUUGUUUUGACAGGCAAAGUCUCUGUCUCCAACAAUCAACCACAUCAAAAGAUGUUAACUGUCCAAUCAAGUAAUUAAUAGUUAAAUAUACAAUUUCACUUUUACAGAUUAUUAUUAGUUUUCUCCUGCAGAUAUGUCAUCUCAAGUAAUUCAAAUUCUAUAAUGAAGAAUAUCCAUGUUUAGAAAUUUGGGUCUCAUGCUUCACCAAUCUACGGAACAAGAAAACUAAAUGGACUUGAUCUCCUAAUGACCAUUUAAAAUGAUCCAUUCAAUCAUGGUCUUGAAAAGUAACUGCCAUCAAGUCAAAUAUCUAAUGCAAAGUCAUGAUAACCAAAUUGAAUUUUUCAUGGGUUGUGCUAUGCAUCCAUUAAUUAAACAUUUAAACAUUUUCUUUUUGUAAACAAACCAAGUUACCUUUUCUCCUGCUACAAAAGCCUUGGGAUUGAGAAACCUUGGAAUCUCUCUGUCAAGUCAUGGACAUGAUAGACUAGAACAGGGCAGCUGCAGAAAAAGGGAAUCAGUUGUUCUUACAUAUUGAAUGAUAACUGAUAGCCCAUUCCUCUUAUAUGUAUUUAAUGCAUAAAUUUGUAAUAAGAUAUCUCAUUACUCUUAAAUUUGUAAUAAGAUAUCCCACACACACAGAGAUACAAAUUAAGGAGGUUAUUGCAUGUCUUAUAUUUUCAGGUUAUCUCAGAAUCAAUCAAAUGAAAUCAUUUAUUAACAUUGCCAUGGAAUUUGUAUCUAUUUUGUAAUAACAUAUUCACACAUUCCAGUAAACCCUUCUCACACUGAAUUCAAAUUAACAUGUCUUCACACAAUCGAAGAGGAUGCUAGACAUUAACAGUCAAAAUUCAUCUAUGUGGGAACUGCUUCCAGUAAUCACAUUUCACAAUAUUACUGAUUGAGAAUUAACGUAAGAGUAUUAAAGAGGACAUUCUAACUUCAGUGCGUGCAAGUUUACAUGCUAAUACCAGAACACAAUCUGCAGGGUAAAAUUACCUACACGAACCUUCUGCUCAAUUUUUUCCUCCACAGCGACAGGGCUCUUCAAUAUCACAUUCGUGUGCUAAUGAAUAAGCAACACCUGUCAGUGUGGAACUUACAUGGAUUGGUGAGCCUUACAUGGAACGAUCAACUUGCCGGAGACCCC
rnacentral:lncRNA from 1 species